CAAUUAUUUCAUAAACUUUUGAGAAAUACUGUUAAAAGAUAUAGCAACAUUCAGAAUUUAACUUACUCUUUCUGUACUAGGAGUUGGAUUUUUCCCAAUGCAACGCAACAAUUAAAUACACUUUGCCAAAUAAGUUAACGGGGAGAAAGAUGGGAGUUGGCAUUUUAAUUUAUGAAAAGUACAAAUAAUAUCAUCACUAACUUGUACAGCACAACUGGGGAGAACUACAGUCUUGUCUGGAACUGGAAGAAAGACUGAAAGAAUACAGACAACUGAAUGACUGAUGGUGAAGAAUAAGAUCUACCAAUAAAUAUAACGAAGAAACCAGCUGCUGUGUAUCAUAGUAAUGCUGCUUAUUACUGAAUCUUCUCAGUGCAGCCCAUAAAGGGGAAUUUCCAUGGCAAGAUGGGAUGUUUGGAAAUGGAUGAUAAUUAGCAGAUGAGAAGUUGUCUCCAAAGCAGCUUUACCUACCACACUUCAAAGAAAUGACAGAUGAACUAAGUUUGCGAAGAGAAGGAAACUCACCUCGGGGAUCAAGAGGUCCAGUAUGAGGAAUGGAGGGAGGCAGCCACAUCUGGCGAGUGACAGAGACAUCAGUAUGGUGCACAAGAAUUGCCAAGCUUCAGAGAGAUCUACUCAGUUGAACUUCUGUACUCAGUGCCAGCUGUAUCAAGUAUACAAGCAUUUAGGCAGCUCUACUGUUUCAUUUUUGCUGCUCAGAAUUAUCCCUGAAUAUCUAACUAGAAAUGGCAGAGAACCCAAACAAAAUUAAAUUAAUC